rfam:Heterocephalus glaber contig210119, whole genome shotgun sequence.
AUAGGUUUUUGCUCAUGCACCAUGGUUGUCUGAGCACGCAGCAUGCUUGUCUGCUCAUACUCUAUGGUUCCUGAGCAGGGACCUUC